rnacentral:misc_RNA from 1 species
UUCUUUUCUUUGGGAACAAGAA